rnacentral:rRNA from 1 species
UACGGAGGGUGCAAGCGUUAUCCGGAUUCACUGGGUUUAAAGGGUGCGUAGGUGGAUCGGUAAGUCCGUGGUGAAAUCCCCGAGCUUAACUCGGGAACUGCCGUGGAUACUAUCGAUCUUGAAUACUGUGGAGGUAAGCGGAAUAUGUCAUGUAGCGGUGAAAUGCUUAGAUAUGACAUAGAACACCGAUAGCGAAGGCAGCUUGCUACACAGUUAUUGACACUGAGGAGCGAAAGCGUGGGGAGCGAACAGG